AUGCUCUACAUUGAGAUCACAGAUGAAAAGUCAACAUUUGCAGAUGGAGACAGUCCAAAUACAAUAACACAUGGCCAGCCCAAGCAGCAGAUUCUCUGCGGGAGAGGAUAUUGCUAUUUGGACAGACUUUAUAGCUCACAAAGAAUGGAAAGCACUCUCUAUAAAUCUUUAGCUUUCUUCUGCAUGAAAUAAAUAUCAGCUGCCUUUUUCUCACCUGCAAAAGCUAACUGCUGAAAAGAAAAUUAUCUUUGAUAAUUUCACUUAUUAGCCAUUAUUAGUAUUUGAUGUUGCAAUCAGUUGAAUGGUAAACGUCUAAGGUUAUUGAUUAUUUAAAUUAACUACCAAAUUUUGACCAAGCUGCAUGAUAUGAAACACCUUAUUUACAUUACUACAGAUCAUACUUUCUUUAUAGUUUACCAUUUCUUUUGAUUAUAUUUAAUAUCUUUUAUUAAGUACUCAUUCACAUAUCGAAAUUUCCUGAUUUAUUCUCCAUUACUUGUGAUUUGCAUUGUGUCUCAAAAGAACGUAGUAAAUCUUAUUUGAUGUGCAACACAUUUUAAGGAGCCAAUCUAAAGUGUUAAGAAAUGAAGUAUUUACAGAUUAAUUUCAGGCUGAGAUCCAAUUUAAAAAUGAAGAAACAAUCUAUGUAAUCUUCUGUCCUCUUCAAAGAGUUCUCAGUUGCUUAUGUAAAACUAGGCCGGUAGUACAAAAUAUUGUGUGGUAAUUUGCCUUUACACAAUCUCCACUGGUUUUCAUAUUUCAGAAUGAGGAUGGGGAAAAAGAACUUUCAUUUGCACAGUGGACUCUGAUGACCUUCAUCUUGGACACUGAUAACUGCAGCCUUGUUCCUCCCCUAGUCUGAGCUAGAGAUUUUUCUCCUGGUCUUCAAAGGGCAUAGACUGGUCCCAUUUAAGCAUUCAGAAAUUUGGACGAAAUCUAUGUUAAGUUAUUAAGAAUUUAAAGACUUUAUAUAUUGUAAAACAUGUCUGAGAUAUUAUUUUACUACUUUUAUUUUUCUUUUUAAAAGUUUAAUAAUUUAUUUAUUUAUUUAUUUAUUUAUUUAUUUGAGAGAGAGAGAGUGAGCGCGCGCGAUCGCACAACAGUGGGGAGCAGCAGAGGGAGAGGGAGAAGCAGACUCCACAACGAGCAAGAAGCCCAAUGUGGGGCUCCAUCCCAGGACCCUGAGCUGACAACCUGAGCCCAAAGGCAAACACUUAACCAACUGAACAACCCAGGCACACCUGAAAGAUUAUUUUUAAAUGAAAUAAAACAUCCAUUUUAUGGUGUAUGUGAUCUGUA
rnacentral:lncRNA from 12 species